rnacentral:rRNA from 1 species
UACGGAGGGUGCAAGCGUUAUCCGGAUUCACUGGGUUUAAAGGGUGCGUAGGAGGGCAGGUAAGUCCGUGGUGAAAUCUCUGAGCUUAACUCAGAAACUGCCGUGGAUACUACCGGUCUUGAAUAUCGUGGAGGUGAGCGGAAUAUGUCAUGUAGCGGUGAAAUGCUUAGACAUGACAUAGAACACCAAUUGCGAAGGCAGCUCACUACCCGAAUAUUGACUCUGAGGCACGAAAGCGUGGGGAUCAAACAGG